GUGAAUCAUCAAAUUUUUGAACGCAAAUUGCACUCUCUGGUAUUCCGGGGAGUAUGCUUGCUUGAGGGUUAGUUUAUUACAAAUCGUAAAAAGAAAUUUUUACGGAUCUGGAUUUUCCAAAAGUUAUAUUUUUGGUAAUCUAAAAUUUAUCAUACCAUUAGGUAUUUUUGGAAUGUUUUAUCUUAAUUUAUUAAACAAUUAUU
rnacentral:misc_RNA from 1 species